rnacentral:rRNA from 1 species
GGGUCAGUAGGUUGGUCGUGCCACAGGUACGUACUGGUCUCACUGAUUCCUCCUUCCUGAAGAACCGUAAUGCCAUUAAUUUGGUGUUGCGGGGAAACAGGACUGUUACUUUGAAAAAAUUAGAGUGUUUAAAGCAAGCUAACGCUUGAAUACUUUAGCAUGGAAUAAUGAAAUAGGACGAUCGAUCCUAUUUUGUUGGUUUCUAGGAUUGACGUA